CUCCUCUCAGGAUUACAUCUGGAGAGUUUCCAGCACUCUACCAGUCUUGACUAUGGGAGGGAGAGUCAAGUAGAGGGAUACCCAUUCCAUUCCUAGCUUGGGCGGUGGCUAACAAGUGGAAGGCAAUCUGCUACAAGU